CCUACGGGGGGCAGCAGUGAGGAAUAUUGGUCAAUGGACGGAAGUCUGAACCAGCCAUGCCGCGUGCAGGAAGACGGCUCUAUGAGUUGUAAACUGCUUUUGUACAAGGGUAAACCUGAAUACGUGUAUUCAGCUGACAGUACUGUACGAAUAAGGAUCGGCUAACUCCGUGCCAGCAGCCGCGGUCAUACGGAGGAUUCAAGCGUUAUCCGGAUUUAUUGGGUUUAAAGGGUGCGUAGGCGGAUUGAUAAGUUAGAGGUGAAAUGUCCGGGCUUAACUCGGGAACUGCCUCUAAUACUGUUGAUGUAGAGAGUAGAUGCGGUAGGCGGAAUGUAUGGUGUAGCGGUGAAAGGCUUAGAGAUCAUACAGAACACCGAUUGCGAAGGCAGCUUACCAAUCUAUAUCUGACGUUGAGGCACGAAAGCGUGGGGAGCAAACAGGAUUAGAUACCCCAGUAGUC
rnacentral:rRNA from 1 species